UACGGGGGGGGCAAGCGUUGUUCGGAAUUACUGGGCGUAAAGGGCUCGUAGGUGGCCAACUAAGUCAGACGUGAAAUCCCUCGGCUUAACCGGGGAACUGCGUCUGAUACUGGAUGGCUAGAGAUUGGGAGAGGGAUGCGGAAUUCCAGGUGUAGCGGUGAAAUGCGUAGAUAUCUGGAGGAACACCGGUGGCGAAGGCGGGAUCCUGGGCCAGUACUGACGCUGAGGAGCGAAAGCGUGGGGAGCAAACAGGG
rnacentral:rRNA from 1 species